GAUGAACGCUAGCUACAGGCUUAACACAUGCAAGUCGAGGGGCAUCAGGAAGAAAGCUUGCUUUCUUUGCUGGCGACCGGCGCACGGGUGAGUAACACGUAUCCAACCUGCCCUUUACUCGGGGAUAGCCUUUCGAAAGAAAGAUUAAUACCCGAUGGCAUAAUGAUUCCGCAUGGUUUCAUUAUUAAAGGAUUCCGGUAAAGGAUGGGGAUGCGUUCCAUUAGGUUGUUGGUGAGGUAACGGCUCACCAAGCCUUCGAUGGAUAGGGGUUCUGAGAGGAAGGUCCCCCACAUUGGAACUGAGACACGGUCCAAACUCCUACGGGAGGCAGCAGUGAGGAAUAUUGGUCAAUGGGCGCUAGCCUGAACCAGCCAAGUAGCGUGAAGGAUGAAGGCUCUAUGGGUCGUAAACUUCUUUUAUAUAAGAAUAAAGUGCAGUAUGUAUACUGUUUUGUAUGUAUUAUAUGAAUAAGGAUCGGCUAACUCCGUGCCAGCAGCCGCGGUAAUACGGAGGAUCCGAGCGUUAUCCGGAUUUAUUGGGUUUAAAGGGAGCGUAGGUGGACUGGUAAGUCAGUUGUGAAAGUUUGCGGCUCAACCGUAAAAUUGCAGUUGAUACUGUCAGUCUUGAGUACAGUAGAGGUGGGCGGAAUUCGUGGUGUAGCGGUGAAAUGCUUAGAUAUCACGAAGAACUCCGAUUGCGAAGGCAGCUCACUGGACUGCAACUGACACUGAUGCUCGAAAGUGUGGGUAUCAAACAGG
rnacentral:rRNA from 3 species